rnacentral:lncRNA from 1 species
UCUUUUUGUUAACUAUCGACUUUUUCGCUUAUCUGAAAGAUGAGAAAAGUUUUUUUUUUUUUUUUUUUUUUUUGAGAGAAAGGUAGCAUGCUACCCGCUUCAUUCAUAUAGUAGGUGAAUUAAGCUACAUGGGUGAGGCAAAGAUGAGAAAAGUUGAUUGAAAAGACAGUUCGUAGCAGUUUAAGUUUUUACAGAAAUAUGGUUGUUUUAAUUGUACUGUCUCGAAACAACAAAUCCAGAUUGAGGUCAUCUCUUUACUUCAAAUUCACAGACUCGGCUUAUAGUCAAAAUCAAUUCUCCACAUGAGAAAAAGUGUUAAGUAUAUAAUAAGAUAUUUUUGAUAAAAAAAAU